UACGUAGGUGGCUAGCGUUAUCCGGAAUUACUGGGCGUAAAGGGUGCGUAGGUGGUUUUUCAAGUCAGGAGUGAAAGGCUACGGCUCAACCGUAGUAAGCUCUUGAAACUGUAAAACUUGAGUGCAGGAGAGGAGAGUGGAAUUCCUAGUGUAGCGGUGAAAUGCGUAGAUAUUAGGAGGAACACCAGUUGCGAAGGCGGCUCUCUGGACUGUAACUGACACUGAGGCACGAAAGCGUGGGGAGCAAACAGG
rnacentral:rRNA from 1 species